UGCGCCUGCCCGGCGGGCGGAGGCUGCGGGCAAGGGGCGGGGCGUGGAGCUCGCUCCGCCUUCCAGCCCGCCAGUCCCCGGGGUGGAGGGGCUGGCCUGCUUCCGCCGCGAGCUCUGCCCGGUCCCCCUGCUAGUAAGAGCUCCUCAGUGCCCUGGGGACUGUCCCCGAGCGCCGGGGCCCAAGCGGACCGGCGCCAGCACCGCAUCGCGAAUCGGGUGCACGGAUUCACCUCGCAGGUGUUUUCGCGCACCUGGCAGAGUUGUUGAAACAAAACUCAGACAACCCGGCAGGAUUGACCAAAAGAUAAAAGAAGGUGCAAACAACGUCUUGACUGAAAAGGGGGUCCCCAGAGGUUUCCUGUCGAGCAGAUGCGGGCCAGCGUGGAGGACGGCGCUUUGGGUCAGCGGCGAACACCCGACCGCAGGAGAAAGCCCACUCUGGGGGUGCGUCUGGGACCACCCCGGGGGCGAUGGGGACAGAGGGACGACUGGGAACCUCCAUCUCCUGGGGACAAUCCAGGCUGUGGUCACCAGGCCACCCCGGGAGCUAUGAGGCUCUGGCAACGGAGGUUUCGCCGAGAGCACUGCUAGAAACGCAGAGGAAAUCUGGGAGUCGGUUUCCGGAAGAAGGGAGAAUGCGUGUUGGGCGAGCAGCGCUGGUCACGAGGGAGUCGGGUGAAAUUUCCCAGGAGGAGGAAGCUGCCACUGCCACAUCCUGGGGUUUCCCCAGAAGGGACCUGACGCCCAGGGCUGCAAGCCAAGGAGGUAGGUCUAGGCGAUCGUUGGGAAGGGGGGAAGGAGGGAGAGCAGGCUUUCCAGCGGCCGCGAUACUCCUCCAGCUCACCUUCGGACUCAGUUUCCCCAGCUGGCCUCCAGCCGCACCCCGAUUAAUAUCCCAUCCGUGUCCGUCCACAGCACUUGUACUGUUUUAACCCUAACCCCGAUCUAGCCGUAACUUGAACCCAACCCUGACGCUAACCCCCUCUAGGAUGAGCCCCGACCUUACACCCACACUGACCCUGACCCCGGCUUGCACCGCAACACCACCCCACCCGAAUUCUUGGCCUGAACCCUAAGCCCCACCUAAGGGAACCUGCCCCUGAACCCAGUCACCACUGCAGCCUUGUGAUGGGUCCUUCUCAGAAACAGAACCAAGUGGGUGUGUCCACACAAAAGCGUGUCGAAGGAGUCGGCUCACCUGGUUCCAGAGAUCCGGCAGGAGCCGAUGCUGCAGGUCUGGCGUGAGGGCCGCCGCUGCAGAAUCCCCUCUUGCUCAGGGGAGGUCCGUCUUUUGUUGUAUGUAGGCCUUCAACUGCUUGGACGAGGCCCACCCACAUCGUGGAGGACAAUCUGCUUUACUCAAAAUCACAGAGGGGUUACCAGCCGGCUGGGGGCGGCGGUGGCUGGGCAGCAGAACCACAGUAGGCGCGGUGUCUGCUCAGCCCCUGGCCCACCAGGCGUGUGGCGGCCGGUGGUGUUUGCUGUACAAGGAGAACGUUCACAAUACAGCGUCACCUUCCCGUUGACUUUAAGUGCGACCGUAGUGAAUUGCGCUGAGUUCUACCUUCACUGGCUCGGGUUUAGUGGCUUUUGAAUUCAUCUUCUAAGUGUAUGUAAAUCACCCUUUCUGGUCCCAGAUCCAGGAAUUUGUGUGAGAGGACGGUGGGGUGUAUUCCCGGAGGACUGCGAUUUCUGGAGGGGGACUUUGUUCCAGCUCCUGCCGGCAUCGGCUCACUGGCAUGGGCCCCGCGGAAGAUUCAAACGGGGGAUGAAGCAUCGAGACCGUUUGGGCGGAACGAGGAACACUUCUUAGCGAGCAGAGGAGAAGCGAUAGAAGGUCCUGAUGCUGGACGGUCCAGCCGUGCGCUUCGGACACGGCCGGGGUUGGAAUCGCAGGACGGCGAGCAGGAGAGUGGUGGUUACCAGGC
ensembl:lncRNA